CGAGUAGCAAUACUAGUGGCAGACGGGUGAGUAACAUGUNGGUAUCUGCCCUUUGGCCUGGAAUAACACGAGGAAACUUGUGCUAAUACCGGAUAAGUCUUUACGGAGAAAGCUUUAUGCACCAUUGGAUGAGCCCGCACUUGAUUAGUUUGUUGGUAGGGUAAUGGCCUACCAAGACUGUGAUCAAUAGCUGAUUUGAGAGGAUGAUCAGCCACAUUGGGACUGAGACACGGCCCAAACUCCUACGGGAGGCAGCAGUGGGGAAUCUUGCACAAUGGAGGAAACUCUGAUGCAGCGAUGCCGCGUGAGUGAAGAAGGCCCUUGGGUUGUAAAGCUCUUUCGUCGGGGAAGAAAAUGACUGUACCCGAAUAAGAAGNUCCGU
rnacentral:rRNA from 1 species